rnacentral:rRNA from 1 species
GUGGGGAAUUUUGGACAAUGGGCGCAAGCCUGAUCCAGCAAUGCCGCGUGCAGGAAGAAGGCCUUCGGGUUGUAAAGCUCUUUCGGCGGGGACGAUAAUGACGGUACCCGCAGAAGAAGCCCGGCUAACUCCGUGCCAGCAGCCGCGGUAAUACGGAGGGGGCUAGCGUUGUUCGGAAUCACUGGGCGUAAAGCGCACGUAGGCGGCUACUCCAGUCAGAGGUGAAAGCCCGGGGCUCAACUCCGGAAUUGCCUUUGAAACUAGGUAGCUUGAACGUCGGAGAGGUAAGUGGAAUUCCGAGUGUAGAGGUGAAAUUCGUAGAUAUUCGGAAGAACACCAGUGGCGAAGGCGACUUACUGGACGACUGUUGACGCUGAGGUGCGAAAGCGUGGGGAGCAAACAGGAUUAGAAUCCCGAGUAGUCC